rnacentral:rRNA from 1 species
GAGUCAGUAGGUUGGUCGUGCCACCGGUACGUACUGGUCUCACUGAUUCCUCCUUCCUGAAGAACCGUAAUGCCAUUAAUUUGGUGUUGCGGGGAAACAGGACUGUUACUUUGAAAAAAUUAGAGUGUUUAAAGCAAGCUAACGCUUGAAUACAUUAGCAUGGAAUAAUGAAAUAGGACGAUCGAUCCUAUUUUGUUGGUUCCUAGGAUUGACGUA